UAAAAAUGAACUGAAUACCCUCGUAUAAUAAUGGGAAUAUGGCCCAUAAGUUUCUACCCGAUAACCGUAAAUUAUUGGACUAUGAGGGAAAGUCGAUAAGCC
rnacentral:ncRNA from 2 species